rnacentral:rRNA from 1 species
UACGUAGGGUGCAAGCGUUGCCCGGAUUUAUUGGGCGUAAAGGGCGCGUAGGCGGCCCCCGUGCGUCACGCGUGAAAGCUCCCGGCUCACCUGGGAGAGGUCGUGUGAUACGGCGGGGCUCGAGCGAGGUAGGGGGGCCAUGGAAUUCCCCGGUGUAGUGGUGGAAUGCGUAGAGAUCGGGGAGGAACACCCGUGGCGAAGGCGAUGGCCUGGACCUCGAGCUGACGCUGAGGCGCGAAAAGCGUGGGGGAGCGAUCCGG